GCGAGGUCGAGCUAAUCUCCAAAAGCCAUCUCAGUUCGGAUUGCACUCUGCAACUCGAGUGCAUGAAGUUGGAAUCGCUAGUAAUCGCAGAUCAGCAUGCUGCGGUGAAUACGUUCCCGGGCCUUGUACACACCGCCCGUCACACCAUGGGAGUUGGUUCUACCCGAAGGUAGUGCGCUAACCGCAAGGAGGCAGCUAACCACGGUAGGGUCAGCGACUGGGGUGAAGUCGUAACAAGGUAGCCGUAGGGGAACCUGCGGCUGGAUCACCUCCUUUCUAAG
rnacentral:rRNA from 1 species